rnacentral:rRNA from 1 species
AGUCACUGACAUUAGAUACCCCCGUAGUCCAGGGUGUAAACGCUGCAGACUUGGUGUUGGAGGCCCUUUGGGGGCAUUCAGUGCCGGAGAGAAGUUGUUAAGUCUGCUACUUGGGGAGUACGUCCGCAAGGAUGAAACUUAAAGGAAUUGGCGGGGGAGCACCGCAACGGGAGGAGCGUGCGGUUUAAUUGGAUUCAACACCGUAAAACUCACCAGGGAAGACUGUUACAUGAAGGCCGAGAUGAAGACUCUGCUAGAUUUUUCAG